rnacentral:rRNA from 1 species
AGCGAACGCUGGCGGCAGGCCUAACACAUGCAAGUCGAACGAACUCUUCGGAGUUAGUGGCGGACGGGUGAGUAACACGUGGGAACGUGCCUUUAGGCUCGGAAUAACUCAGGGAAACUUGUGCUAAUACCGAAUGUGCCCUUCGGGGGAAAGAUUUAUCGCCUUUAGAGCGGCCCGCGUCUGAUUAGCUAGUUGGUGAGGUAAAGGCUCACCAAGGCGACGAUCAGUAGCUGGUCUGAGAGGAUGAUCGGCCACAUUGGGACUGAGACACGGCCCAAACUCCUACGGGAGGCAGCAGUGGGGAAUUUUGCGCAAUGGGCGAAAGCCUGACGCAGCCAUGCCGCGUGAAUGAUGAAGGUCUUAGGAUUGUAAAAUUCUUUCACCGGGGACGAUAAUGACGGUACCCGGAGAAGAAGCCCCGGCUAACUUCGUGCCAGCCGCCGCGGUAA